GGCUCCCGGCGGAGAGCGGCUCGCUGCUUCUCUUGCUAACUUAAGUGCACGUUGAGCGCUUAAAGUAUGUGCUUACUCUGAAGCCCUUACGUGCAUUAGCGCACUUAAGAGUUCCUACGAGGGCCGUUUUUCUCCCCAAGAGAGCAGAUGAAAAAUUUACGCGAUCUGGCCCCAGCCCUCCCUAUAGCCACAUUGUCCUCCUGUCCUUUCCAGAAACGUUACCACGCUGGAACUGGAACUUACCGGUUGCCCCUGUUUUCUCUAUCCUCGUAUGACGCCUCGGAAAAGAGAAGGGUUCCUUUGUGAUAGUGUCAUGAGAACCGAAAAUUUAAAAAAUCCUUUGUGUAUAAUUGCGAAUAGUUUUGCCAUUUACCCUUCUCACGCCAGGCAUACUCUGACUCAAUGCAUAUGGUAGUUCUUGAAGACUCUGUAUAUCUAAGAACCCAAAUCCACAAAUCAGGAAAGCUAGUAUACUGUUCUUGGUAGGAGCGUUGGAAGCCUUAGGCGCCUCUACAAUAUAUCCCCUGGCCUCCCUGAUGAACAUUUU